rnacentral:rRNA from 1 species
GCCAGACUCCUACGGGAGGCAGCAGUGGGGGAUAUUGCACAAUGGGGGGAACCCUGAUGCAGCGACGCCGCGUGGGUGAAGGAGCGUUUCGGCGCGUAAAGCCCUAUCGGCAAGGAAGAAGGAGGACGGUACCUGACUAAGAAGCCCCGGCUAACUACGUGCCAGCAGCCGCGGUAAUACGUAGGGGGCAAGCGUUAUCCGGAUUUACUGGGUGUAAAGGGGGCGCAGACGGCAGCGCAAGCCAGGAGUGAAAGCCCGGGGCCCAACCCCGGGACUGCUCUUGGAACUGCGCGGCUGGAGUGCAGGAGGGGCAGGCGGAAUUCCUGGUGUAGCGGUGAAAUGCGUAGAUAUCAGGAGGAACACCGGUGGCGAAGGCGGCCUGCUGGACUGCGACUGACGUUGAGGCCCGAAAGCGUGGGGAGCAAACAGGAUUAGAUACCCUUGUAC